ACUGACUAAGCUGUAUCUCCCUGAGAAUCCAGUCAUAAAGCCACAAUUCUCAAUAUUUGAUUCGACCAGCUGUUCUGUGCUCCAGCUGUUUUAUGAUUCACCACAGGAUAGACUUCCUCUGCCUCCCUCAAACUGUGAGCCAACCAUAACUAUUAUAGGAAGGAAGAAGAAAUUGCUUACAGAACAAGAAUACUGAAGGCUGUACUCAUCAGCUUGAUUUUCUUUUCAUUUAUCUGAUAAAGUCAUCAUUCAUUUCUUUGCUCAUUCAGCUGGGAUUCAGUGUCUACAACAUUAAGAGCCCUCUGUGUUCCUGAGGCAAGUGCUUAAAGAAUAUCAACACUAAAGGAUGAUAGAGUGAAGAAUACGUGUCAGCGAUCAUACUAUCAAAUAGAACCAAUUGCAGCCACCACCAACCUUUUUAUCCUCUGAGGAAAAGAAGUUUCUAUGAAUGCUUAACCUAUGGAUACAGAGACAACUCAAGGUUUUCGAGACUCGGCUAUCUAUCAACAGAGGAGAAACGCAAACGCUAAAAGGGAGGACCUCGAAGGGAUAAACAAGAGGAAAGCAAGACAUAGACUACCCAUCAAAGACACCAGCCUGGGUUUCCAAAGUCUCUAUAGGAUUGGCCUUAAGCAGCACACAAGAAUACAUUUAUUAUGUUACUCCCCCCCCCCCACAUUCUAUCUCUUCCUAAGAAUUAUCAAGAAUGAUAUUUCAGAAGGUUAAAAACCAUCUAGGUAGGUACGCAAAUAUGCAAAGUGGAUAUCUGCCUAAGCAGAGAAGGUGAAGGGCCCAGUGGAGAAUCCUUGGCCACAGGACAUUUGGUUUACAGGCUUGCCUGGAACAUCAUAAUAGCUUGCUGAGAGGCUAGCCUUUGCACCACCAGAGUUCAGGCCACAGCAUGGCACAAAGAUCAAGUUUAGAACUGCGGUGACCACUAACAAUGGUGUCGAAGGAGCAAUCGAGAGGUAGACAGUGUGGUAUGCUGAAAUUGCAUGUACUCCAACCACUGAGCUACAUGUAUUUUCAAAGUUCAUUUUACAGGCUUCUUUUAAUAUUAUUAUGGCUACUAGAAAUUUCAAAACCCUCUACAUAGUUUUGUUUUUGUUUUUGUUUUGUUUACAUCAUGGCUGCUGACCACCAGAGGGCUCAGUCACACAAUAGCCCAGCCUCACUUUUGGGAUCAAAAGAACCAGGCUCUACACAGAGCAAUCACAGGAUACAGGCAUCUCUGUAGAGAAGAGAGAAGGGAUGAAAGGGACAGGUUUAGCUACAAAUCAACCUCAUCCUAAGAGGGAGAAAGUCUGUGCUCCACUGAGUUCCUUCCUGUGAGACUCGGGGAGUCCAAGAAAAUGGGGAGUAUGGCAGAAGACAGUUGGCUAAUGUGUCACCCCACCAAGGACCCAUACCGUCCACGUUGUUCGGUUGUUUUCCAUUUCUUGUAAUACUCAUUCACAGCUUAGGGUCUGCCCUAGUUAAUUCUUAUUGUCUACUUGGCACAACCUAGAGGAACCUGGGCAUUGAUUUUUUUUUCCCUUGAUCAGAUUGGCCUGUGGCCAUGUCUGCAAGAGACUGUCUUAAUUGGUAAUUCAGGUGGGAGGAGGGCUCAGCCUAUUGUGGCAUGCCCACUGCAGGGCAGGUGGUCCUGGGAUGUUUCAGAAAGCUAGCUGAGCAAAAGCCAGCCAGAGAGUGAGCCAAUAAACUACCUCCGAGUUCCUGCUUUAAGUUUACACAUUGCCUCCUUUCAGUGAUGGACUGUAUUCUGGAGGUCUAAAGAAAAGAAACCCUUUUUUACCCAAGCUACUUUUGGUCAUAGUAUUUAACCAGAGAAACAGAAAGCACACUGAGACAGUGACCUAGUCGGAGCCAUUUGCUCUCUACCAGCUGGUGCUUCACCAAGGGCUCCUUCCAGUCUCUCCCAUAACUCCUGGCAUGAUAAGGGACUUUGAUACCCUGGAGCUUCUGCUUUGGAGUUCUGGUUAUACCACGAAUAAGUAGCAUUAGAGCAGCAAAUACCUCUCUGCAGAGAUUUUGGCAGUUAACUCAGGCCCAAAACUACUGAACUAUUCCAGAAACGAGCAGAAUGCAGCUUGAAAAUCUUAUCUAUUGCCUGCUAAAGCACUAAAGGCUCCUAAGCCCCAGAUACAGUGUCAGUUUCCUUUAAAAGCCUGAAUUUCCACAGCCCUUGCUCUCUGAAAAACAUCAACUGUGCUCAAGAGACUCACUACAUGGCCAAGUCAACAGAGCUCCACUAGCCAAGACAAUCACUAGCCUAGUAGGAAUAGAACGAUUCCUUAAGUAAGAGAUAUCAAACACAAGUUGUCCCUAGCUGUGCAUCAACAUAAAUUAUGUUUUGGCAGAACCACAUCACCUGGUGUUUGCUGUGAAGCUUUUCUUUACAUGAAGUCUUACUGAAAAGCAGCAAGACAGGAAUUUUCCAGAUGGUUAAGACUUUGUGCUAUACAAUCCUCUGUGGGUCGACCUUCUAUAUUUUUUUAAAUUAAUGAAGAAAAAAUAAGAUAUGUAUUUUCUUGGGGAAGAUGGUGAACUCAUCACAUCUGAAGACUGUUUAAUUUCAGAAAAUGCCCUCAGCAGAGGAGUCUCUUGCAAAGACCUCAUCCUUAGCUGCUGAGACUAACCUGCCACAAAGAAUUCCGAGCUCUUUAGUUCAACUCAGAGCUCAGAACGAGGCGAGCAGUAACAGUACUCGGUCUUAAAGGCAAGAAGCAAGACUCCUGGCUGUCCCAAAAUCAGUGGGUGAAGAGCCACCAGGAAAAUCAUAUAAGUGACUACCCAUGAAUCAGCAGGUUGGAUUUUUGAAAAUGUGUGUGUGUGUGUUUGUCUGUGCAUGUGUGUGUGUGUUAUAUGUUGCUGUGUGAUUUGCACAUGAAUAUAAGUGUGUGUUCCAUAGCAUGUAUAUGGAUGUAUCCUUGUCUUCUGCCUUCAGACAUGGUCUCUUAUUUUGCCAUCACUUGUGACAGGCCACCUGGCCCAUAAGUUUUCAGGAAUUCUGUAUCUGCCUCCCAUGCUACUGGAAGGGCUCUGAGAGGACAGACAGUUUGUAGCUGAUUUCUUGGGGUUAGAACUCACUUUUGAAGUAUAUAUUUACCGACUCAGCCUACAUUGCUUUUUAUGCAGGAUCUUGCUGUACUGCACAGGGUGGCCUUGAACUCCUAGGAUAAGCAAACCUCCCACCUCAGACUCCUGAGUAGCUGGAACUAUAGGCACACACCUCCAUGCUUAGCGUCAGCUGUCUGAAGUUACACAGAAGUGGACGCUGAGAAGACAUCUGCCUUGUGGUGGACAGCAUUUUAGAAGGCAGAACAAAGAACUGGAAGGCAGAAUCUUUAGCUGAAAGUUACCAGGAAAGCUCACCAGCCUCUACGGAAGAUUUCACUUGCAUGCCUGAUGACUUGACAGGUCAUCCAAGCCAUGAGAAAGUGAGACCUCAUCCCUGAGAGGUGCCUAUCACAUAGAAAGUGUUUGUGUUUGCUUUGUCACAGAACAUAGAACACAAUGGCUUGUGAGGUAAGAAAGCAUGCCUAGUACUGGGUGCUUAUGAAAGAGUUUUCUCGAGGACCUUAGUAAACUCUCCAGUCCCUCACACUGCAGCAGCUUGACCUUGGCAUUUAGCUGGUGCAUUUUGCUUCAAUGCCAACUGUUCCCCUAUACUAACUAUGACAGACCCUGUUAGGUGCCUUUUCUCAACAUUGUUUCUAUUUGCUAGCAGAGCUUUAUAUCAGACACAUAUUUCUAAGCAUCCAGGAAACAAGAGGCUUUUUAAUAGGAUCUGGGCAGGAAACUGGGAGGUAUGAGGUAGGGAUCGGCAAUGGGACUUCUGAGAUUUCUCUCUUUUAAAGGAGGCUGGCAAAGAAGUCUCACUUUCAUUCUCUGUAUUAGCUCCAAGCUCUAACAAUGAUCACAGUGGUGCAAAACACCAGGACUUGAUUUUUUUCACAAGUUGAACAGACUGAGGUCCAAAGUCAGUGUCACGGGGUCAAUAGCAAGGCAUCACCAGGGUCAGACUUCCUCCAGUGUGCCUGGGGGGGAAGGCAUUCUAUGUCUCUUGUGGUUUCUGUGGCCACUGGCAUUGCUUAGCGUCCCUCCACAUCAGUUUCUGUUCCGUAUCUGUGGCCAUACUACCUUUUCCUCUUCUGCAGCCAAGUUUCUCUUUGGCUCCCUCUUGUAGAGUAUGUCUCUCUAGUGUCCACAGCCUCAGAUAGUGCCUUUACACGUUUCCCACAUAUAGUAUCAUCCACAGGUGCCAGGGACGAGGAUGUACUGACUCCCCAACAAAAGAGUGGGUGCCUCCAGCUUGUGUCAGCCAAGCUUAGGUAGACAAGCCAGGAUGUAAGAAUAGAAAAAAGGCUCACAGCUGUGGCUUGGUGGCAUGUGCUGCUCCUGACAUAAUUAAAUGUGGCGCUAUCUCUCUUUGAUUGAUUUUUUUAAAGGAACUUUUAAUUUAAAAAAAAAACUUAUAGGUUAUUUUUUAUUGUAUUUCUCCUCUCCCAAUUCCUCCCAGGUCCCUACCCACUUAACUUCCCUCCCUCUCUCUUUUUCUCUCCUUCUCUUCUUCUUUCCCUCCCUUCCUUCCUACAUAAAACAAAACACUAUAAAAUGAUAGCCCCAGAGCGUGGUUGAUAUACGCAGUGACAUUCCACUUGGAGAAAACCCAUUUUCCCUUUGCCGGCAAGUAUCAGUUGCAAAUAGAGUCUUGGUUAGGAGUUGGGCCCCGUGUCCACUUGUCCCUCUCAGUGCUGAGACUCCAUGUGGCAUGAACCCACACAUGGCCCCAUGCAUGCUAUCACAGCCUCUGUGAGUUCAUAUGUGCAUCUGUCCUGUUGUAUCUGGAAGACACUGUUUCCUUAGAGUCAUCCAUCAACAGUGGCUCUUACAAUCUUUCUGCCUCCUCUUUCACACAGAUGCCUGAGCCCUGAGGGAAGGGGUUUGAUGAAGACAUCCCAUUUAGGACUGGGUGGUCUGAAGUUGUGGGUCUCUGUGUUAGUUCCCAUCUACUGCAAGGAGCAUCUCUGAUGAUGACUGAAUACACAGCUCUAUGGGCAUAUCAAUAUAUCACUAGGGGUCACGUCAAUGCUAUGCUUUUUUAGCAGAAUGAAAAGAGUAGGUUUUCCCCUAGGCCCAUGACCUAUCUACUGUAGGUUCUUAACUGAUUUUAAAUGAAAUUUUAAAACAAUGUCAUUAGGGGCUGGAGAGAUGACUGAACAGUUCGUAGCACAGACUGCUUUAAGAGAGGACCAAAGCUUGGUUCACUGUAGACACAUCAGGCAGCUUAUAAACACCUUUUACUCUACCUCAAAAGGAUCUGAUGCCCUCUCCUGGCCUCUGACACCUCCUGCACUCAGGCACACGUACCCUUGGUCCACGUAUAGACAUAAUAUAAAGAAAAAAUCUUAAAAUAAUAAUCUGAUUUUUAAAGCUACUUUGAACAUGGCAUUAUUUGUGUUUUAAUACUUGUUAUUGAAUACAACUAAAAUUUUAAACCUAAUUAAGAUAUUAUAGAAAAUGCCCCCAUAGAUAAGGACAAAACGGUCACACCUGCACUUAUUCUCACAAAGGAUUUUCUGAUUCACGAAAUUUACCUUUUGUGUUAUAUUCUGCUUUAUAAUGCUCCAUAAUUAAUAUAAUAUAAUGCUUCAGUUCCGAUUAUCUGGGUAAAAUAGGUCAUUCAAUGAACUCAGUGUUGCUAAAUCACGUGGCUCUUCAGGGACAUGGCUAGGACAGAGGAAGCUUUCAUUAAACUACCAACUACUUGGCCAAUCGUAAUAUCAACAUCUUUAAUUAAAAGAAAUUGUAUUUGUAGUAUUCAUUGGAAAAAUGCCAAGUACUAGUAAAAUCCGACAAUUUAAUCCCUAUUGUAAGCCUUCUUGUUCUUUCAUAUUUUGCCAGCACCCAAUUUCUAAAACAACAACAACAAAAACAACUAGUACCUGAUCCUGUGUGCUUACUUUGUGACUAAGAAAACAACAUCACAGAGUAGGAAAAUUAACUUAAAUCUAAAGAACUUAUAUCUAGAAAUCUUACAAAUGCUUAAAUUUGGGAGUCAAGGUGACUUUUCCAGAAAGUUUAUGUCCAGGAAAUCGACCAAUAGCAAAGUUGAUUGUGUUGAGUCCUGCAAAUGUGUUUGUCUGGACAGUUUACUUAAAUGGAGCAUUAGCCUUCCUAUUCAGACAGGACAAUGACAGUCACCAAGAAGACAAACAGCUAAUGCUGGUGAGGUUAAGUACAAAUGGGAAUAAUUAUACACUAACAGUGGGGAUAUGAGCUAGUCGGCUGGUGUGGAAAUAACUGUAGUGUGUCAAAAGAAAUAGAUUCUACCACAUGACGCAGUCGUCUCACUCUUGGGUAUUCAGUCAAACGACUCAUUCAAGGGACUCCAGCAUAUCACAGAGACUAUAGCACCAUUCAUAAUAGUUAAGUGACAGAGCCAACCCAGGUGUCCAACAACAGAAGGAUGAUGAUGGUGGUGGUGGUGGUGGUGGUGGUGGUGGUGGUGGUGGUGGUGGUGUGUGGUGUGUGGUAUAAAAGAAGUGAAACUGCCUAGAGUGACAGAGGAGUGUUUGGAGUGAGGGAUUGACGAGAGUAGAGGAUCAUGCCCAACAUACAGUGUAAAUAUAUUACCAUAUCUCAUGUAACACUGCACCAUGUACAAUAAAUAUAUACCAUACAAAUUUAUAGCAAGAAAAAAAUUGACUUUACAGUGGCUUCCACAGUCCACUUUCUUCAUUGUCUCAAAAGUAUGUUUAAGGACUGGACAGAUGGACCAGCAGUUAAGAGCAUUCACUGCCCUUGCAGAGGCCUGGUGUUCAGUUCAGUUCCCAGCACCCACAUCAGGAGGCUCAGAACUGCCUGUAACUCAAGCUUCAUUGAGUCUAUGCCCUCUUCAGGUCUAUGUGGGCACCUUGCCCCAUACACAUGUGUAUACAUAAACAAUGAAACAAACAAACAAACAAACAAAUAAACAAGCAAACUCUUCUAAAAAUAUAUUUAAAGUCCCCAUUCCUCUGUUUCUGGAGCAAGGGUUAGGCACAUUCCUCAUUUUCAGUUACCUAUAAUAUAUCAAAACUAUGUCUGUAUGAUCCCAAAGAAACUAUAGAUUGCACAGUAGGAUUGCUAGACUAAUCAGAUCUUCUGCAAGUUCUUUAUACCAAAGUCCACAGCUAGAAAUACACUUGACUUGAGAAUCAACACUCAAGUAUCUAUAUAUGCCUUUGGUUUACAUGCAGGUCCUGGAUGGAGACCUUUUUCCCAAAAGCAUCUGCCCUUGCUACAUUUGGUGUACUCUGCUCAUUUCUAUUCUGAUUCAAGAUAGCUCAGAGAUUAAGGGUGCUUUCUGUUCCUGCGGAUCUGAGUUCGGUUCCCAGUACCUAUAUACAGUGGGCUCACAACCAACCAUAAUUCCAAUUUUAGGACAUCAGAUUUCUUCUUCUGGCCUCCAUGUCAUUCACAAACAUGUCACUCACACACAUAUACAUAUGCACACACAGAAAUAAAUAAAUGAAUAAAUAAAUAAAUAAAUAAAUAGAUCUUCUUUUAAAAGCAUAGUUGACAGUCAUUACAUAAGAUUUAACUACCAAUGAAUUGUGAUUCCCCACAUUGAAAAAUAGUCUCAGAAUUAGGACAUCAAAUGAAAUGGUAGCUAGCACUUUAAUCUGUCCUUGGACUUUGGAAUCCCAGGCUUACCUUUGUGUACAUUUCCAUCUAGAAAAGUCACAGGUCCAAAGUUCCUCAGGCUGAAUUGAUUUCAUGGCAGACUGUUAGGUCAGAAGGUGCAGAAAAACAACCACAAACCCCACCAGGGUGGUGCCAAGAGAUGCGCACUGGACAAAGCACUUGCCUAACAAGUGUGUGGAGCAGAGUCCACAUACCCAGAGAACAUAUGGAAAAUGCUUUGCAGAUGUGGCAGAGUUGGUGAAGCUGAGAGGAAAUUGCUGGGACAUGAUUAGCUAACUCAAUGGAACUGGUGAGCUCCAAGUUCAGUAAGAGUCUCUAAAUAAAUGAAUUGAAGAAUGCAAAUGACAUCAUCCUUUGACAUGUACACAUAUAACACACACACACACACACACACACACUGAAAAACACUAACGAAGCAUGGCUUUAUUCCCAGACUUCCUUGGAGAACUUCUCAUGGAGGAUUGGAAAACCCAAAGCCAGGGGUUACCCUCUGAUCUUGCAACACAUUUUUAUUUAUUUAUUUUAAUUACAUCCCAAUGUUGCUCCACUCCCAGUCUCCACUCCAAGAGUUCUUCACCCCAUCCCUCCUUCACUUCACCUCUAGAGGGGUGUUCCCCCAGGGUAUACCCCUUCCCUGGAGCACCAAGUCUCUACAGGGUUAGGUGCAUCCUAUCUCACUCAGACUAGAGAAGGCAGUUCUCUGCUACAUAUGUGCUGGGGGCCUCAGACCAGCCCUUGUAUGCUCUUUGGUUGGUGGCUUAGUCUUUGGGACCUCCCAGAAUUCCGAGUUAGUUGACCCUGUUGGUCUUCCUAUAGGGUUGUAAUCUCCUCCAGCUUCUUCAAUUUUUGCCCUAACUCUUCCAUAGUGGUCCCUGACCUCGGCCCAAUGGUUGGCUUUAAGUAUCUGCAUCUGUCUCAGUCAGCUGCUGGUAGAGCCUCCUAGAGGAUAGCCAUGCUAGGUUCCUGUCUACAAGCACAACAUACUUUCCUGUGGAUAAUGAGGCAAAUGAAAAAGAAACUUGUUCAGGUCUUGUGGUAACUGGAGAAGCAUGACUCUCCAACUCCUCCCAUUUGAGGACCUUGACAAUAUCUCUUGAAGACACCUUACUGGAGGAGGGGUGAUUCUGUUUCAGUCAAGAUAGCCAGCUGGCUUUCUACUGUGGGUGACUAUAAACACCUUCUAGCAAUAUCAGUCAGAGAAGAAAAACCAUUCUCCUGGUCACCUUGGAACCACAGUGGAGAGAAUUCCCAUAAGAUUCAAAAGAUUGAGAGUUGAUACAGGGGAUGUGUGAAGUUCUGUUGAAGAACAGAAGUACAGAUAAAGUUGGGAAGCCAACUUUCACAAUUCCAUCACCAACAGAACACUGCAACUGCUUUUCAGAGACAGACUCCCCUAGCUCAUCAUUCUCAAAUAGAAUGAUGGCUGAACCAUUGCCAUGGACACAAGCAGAAGUGACAGAACCUGCAUCCUGAAGAUGAUGGAGGGCCUCUGCUCUUCAUAAUGCAAACCAAGAGAGAGGAAAUGGCCAACUGCACCAAAGCAUGGGAAUUCACCUUGUCCAAACCAAAGCAUCAUGUUAAUGAUAAAGACACUGGGGGACUAUACAAACACAAAAGACAAGUAUAUGCACUUAUGGCUUAUAAAUUACUCGGCAGCUGCUGAGGCUGGACAUCCUUCAUGCUCCCCUCAAACACUUAACGGCCUUAAGGCUACAUUUAUAUCUCUCUUGGGACUAAUGAGGGUUAUGGAUAGGAAAGAACACAGCAUAACUUUCCUUACAUUAGUGUUCCCAACAAUCCCCCUUGCAGGAUGAUAGUGUUAGCAGGUAGGGUCACAAAUACAAACAUAGAACCCAUCCCCAAAGGAAUGCAGAACUCUGUGAUGGUCCCAGUGGGAAGACAUUUUACCCUGGACUAAAUACCCAUUCCUGCAAGAAGAGAUAAGAAGGUCUACUAAUACAGGGAAAAAAUAUUGAGCAUUGUGGGGAGCUAGAUUGACCCACGGUUUUCCCAGAGGCCCUGAUGAAAAGACAAAGGGAACUGUAGCUCUGUGUCCUUGGCUAAGUGCAAGUUUGGCCAUCCUGAUCUGAGAAUGAAGCCAGUGCCUGGAAGGAGAGAAGGCGUCAAGUGUUGUGUUUUCUGUGGACUCGACUCUGACUGUGGGCUGUGUUUCUAAAGCAGCUGUGUCUGAGGUAGCCUGCAUUCUCUUUGCUGGCAUUUGUCGGACUUCACUCUCUACUGACCUUGGUCACUUUCCCUCUGCAAAUAGUAUAUAGGAUGUUACACUUCUUAAUAAUCUUGCUUGGCAUAAAUCAUCAGUUUAUGGAAGACCUCCUGGUCCCAGGUAUUGUUUUUAUCUUCCUUUUUAUCUUUUCUAUCUUUUCUCAAUCCUAGGUCUUCCUACUCAACACCUUGACAUUCUGAUGCCUGUAUUCUUGCAGUUUCUGGUCAGAGCAUGGAUACAGAACUCUCUAUCAUAGCUCACACUGAUGUAGGGAGAGGAACAAGGAAUGGCCAACGGAUUCUAGAAGUUUUUUUUAAUAGUUUUUUUUUUGGGGGGGGGAGUGAUACAGGGUUUCUCUGUAUAGCUCUGGCUGUCCUGGAACUCACUUUGUAGACCAGGCUGGCCUCAAACUCAGAAAUCCACCUGCCUCUGCCUCCUGAAAACUGGGAUUAAAGGCAUGCACCACCAUGCUCGGCCGGAUUCUAGAAGUUAACAGAUCAGAAAAUGCUAACUCAAUUAUCUGAGAGUCACCCAGUGAGAUUUACCAGGAAGCAGCAGAACUCUAGAUAGUACUUAAUAUGUGGUCAGGUUUCCAUUGCUGUGAGAAAACAUCACAACCACAAGCAACUUGAGGAAGAAACGAUUUGUUUCGGCUUACAGCUUGUUGUCUGUCACCAAGGGAAGUCAGGGCAAGAACCCAAGGCAGGAGCCUGGAGGCAGGAACUGAAGCAAAGGCCAUGGAAGAAUGCUUCUUACUGGCUUCCUCCCCAUGGCUUGCUCAGACUGCUUUCUUAUACCACCUAGGACCACCAGCCCAGGAUUGGCACUGCCCACAGUGAACUGGGUCUUCCCAUAUCAAUCAAGACAAUACACAAAAGACUUGCCUACAGGAGAAACUUUUGGAGGCAUUUUUUUUUCAUUUAAGAGUCCUUCUUCCUAGAUAUGUCUAGGUUUGUGUCAAGAUGGCAAAAAUGAACCAGCACUCUCAUGCGCUGUCACACACACUGAAGAGUCUCAGGAGUCAGGUCUUGGACAGGAGCAUGAGGGAGUUGCAUUGGGUGACAGCACUACCCUGAAAGCCUAGCUAGGACCUUGUUCUGCAGGGAUCUUCAGGGAUCAGACAUUGAUUGCCCCUGGUAAGAGUUCACUUCUGAGCUAUAGAAAAUUAGAUCUCCUCCAUGAUGCAUUUCAUCAUGCAGUAUUUACCUGUAAGAGGUCAUCCUGGAGGAAGUGAAUUUUCUGAACAUAAUUUGGGGAUGUAUGAGAUUUAAUUACAGAGGCCUGUAUGCUUUUCAUGUUGAGAAAGAAUGUAUAGUCUGAUUUUACUCAUCCCUCUCCUAGUGCAGUAAUAAAUCACCAGGACCAAAGACAAGUUAUAGAAGAAAGAGUUGGUUUUGGCUUGCAGGACCAGAGGGUUAAGAGCCUGUCAUGGUAAGAGUCAUGGCAGUGAGCAGCAGACAUGGUGACAGGAGCAGGAAGCUGAGAACCCACAUCUACAAACACAAGAACAAAGUAGAGAGAGUGAAACUGGAAGUAGGCUGAGGAUUUAAUCUCAAAUCCCACCCCCAGUGACACACUUCCUCCAGAAAGGCUGUACUACCUAAACCUCCCCAAAGGGUGCCACCGGCUGGCCUCCUGUGGACAUUAGCCUGAAUUGAUGAGUAUAUAGAGAGACAUUUCUCAUUUAAAUAACCAUAGUGAUGGACUCACAUUCACCUCUCUCUCUCUCUCUCUCUCUCUCUCUCCUUGAAUUCAUUUUAAGUAGAAAAUUUAAAAGAAAGACUAUUCAUGGAAAGACAUACAACAUACAUUCCGUCUUUAGUCUUUUGUGUUUGUCUAGACACUUGCGAUGCAUUCAUGCAGUCAUACACAUGUGAGGAAGUGCAAUACACAUGUGUGGGCAUGCAUGUGGAUGCCAGAGUGACGAGGUCAGGUAUUGCUAUUCUGGCACUGUUGAUUUUACUCUGAGGCAAGGUCUCUUAUCGGCCUAGCCAUCACUUCAUGGACUAAGCUGGCUGGCCAGCAAGCUCUGGGGAUCACUGCUUCCCCAUUACUGUGAUUACAAGCAUGUGAUCCCUUGCCCAGAUUUAUUAAAGUUUAGACCUUUCUGCUUACAAGUUGAGUGUUUUACUAGAUGGGCUUUCUGCCCAGCCCUGCAAAGUUUUCUGUAAUCAGAUCCUAGCCACAGCUUCAUGAAUGUGGGAUAGCAGUCCUCCCUCAUAUUGAGAAAUUAUGUGUGGCUUGUAAAACCUUCCCCUAGGGUUUAACCCACUUCCCUUGCUCAAGAAAUACUGAGCUGAGCAUAUGCCUCGUUCCAGGUCAUGGUGGGUGUUAAAGACUCUUUGGUCUCUGCCCUCUGAAAAUCUGUAGACAAGCGGAGGAGGCAAGAUAUAGCCAGAGGCUAACAUUGCUAGACAACAGAUGGCUCAGAACAGGCGCACUGGAAAGCAAUAGACCCACGUGUAGGCAGAGGCUUCAGGGCUCUCAGCUCUGUGGCUUGGCAAGAUGUUGACCUUGCUAAAUCUACCUUUGUCAUUCAUAUAAAAGUUAACGACAGAGCCUACCGCACAGGUCUCUUAUACAGAUAACAAAGUAAAUGUGCUGUGUUCCUGUUGCUAAAACUUGAGGCGUACUAGACAGGUUUAUCUGGUUCAGGGUUUCAGCUAUGGGAAGUCCAUAGCACUUGACACUGAAGUGAAGGUCCAGGUUGUCUAAGUCAAUGGAAGGUGGCAUUAUGAGGUGGCAUGUCUGUGAGAGGGAGUGGUUGCAGGUGAGGCAGGACCUUGCAACUAGAGUGAACUACAUUGACCCUUCCUAAGGAUGUAGAUAACCUCUCACUGAGAGAGUUCUACCUGGAAAGGGUAACCACUGCUUAAUAUUGUCACCCGAAGGACCAAAAUUCCAAUACAUGCAACCUUGGCCGACACUCUCAAACUAUGUCCAACCUAGGAACUAGGAGCAUGACUCAGUGUGUAGACCUAAGUUUAGAUCUCUCAUACCACAUAAGGGUAAUGUAGCAUGUGUCUCUAAUUCCAGCACUAGGGAGCAAUGUGUGUGUGUGUGUGUGUGUGUGUGUGUGUGUGUGUGUGUGUGUGUGUGUGUGUGUGUGAGCCCUGGGGCUUUCUGGCUAGCUAGUGUAACUGUUUGUCUCAGAAAGUAAUGGGGAAAAUCCUAGAAGAAGACAUUUGACAUCAGCCCCUGGUGUCUUCAUAUGAACACACAGGAACACAUACAGCAGGUACCUAUGCAAACACAUACAUGUGCCUUCAAAAGUAAAGUUCAUUUUUAAAAGAAAGAAAAAGAAAACACACAGGCUAGGGGAAUGGCUCCUUGGUUAAAAACAUUUGCAGAGGAUCCGGAUCGGGUUCCAGCAUCCACAGGGUGGCUCACAACUCUGCAACUCCAGAUCUAGGGGAUUGGAUGCCCUCUUCUGGACUUGACAGACACCAGACACACAUGUGGUAUAUUUAUAUACAUGCAGGCAAACAUCCACACACAUACCUCAGUCCUCAUGUAAAAUCUUAGCUCAACCACCAACCACCAACAAGCAGGGACUGGACCUAGCCCCCAGCUCCCCCCGCACAUAUGUGGCAGAUGUGCAGCUUGGUCUUCUUGUAGGUCCCCACCAACUGGAGCUGGGGCUGCCCAUUGCCUGCCUGGAGAUCCCAUUCCCCUAACUAGGCUGCCUUGUCUGGCCUCAGUGGGAGAGGGUGCAUCUAGGCCUGCAGUGACUUGGUGUGCCAGGCUGGGUUGAUAUAAGGGAUACUCCGCCUUCUCAGAGGGGAUGGGGAAGGGGAAUGGGGGGAGGGCCAUGUGCAGAGGGUACCUGGAGGAAGGGAGGCUGUGAUAAAGAUGUAAAGUGAAAAAAUUUAGUUAAUUAAUUAGUUAAUUAAUUAAACAAAAGAAAAAUGAUAAAAUGAAAAUAACUUAGCUACUGCAUAGACUUAAGUAAGAACUUAGCAAUUAUGUGUCAACAGCAGCGUCAAAUGCUAAGGAAACACACAGAAGAGUAGGAAGGAAACUCCUAGAGAAGGAAGCGCCAGAACGAGGAAGGGCAGCAACCUGAAUGCUGGGUCUCAUUCUGGGGCCAAUUGAUGCCCUCAGUGGACAUUUAUCGACCUCUAAAGGCAUCUUCAACUAUAAUGAUCACAGGAUGGAUGCCGUGCAAAACCAAGACAGCAUGUCCCCGACACGUCACCAAUCCUGUAGUCGUGGUCCCACAGAUAAUAACUUAGAUUAAAUUUAAAAUGUAAAAUUCAAAAGAACAACUAUAAACAUGUUCAAAGGACUCAAAGAAGUCCUGAAAGAGGGAAAAGGAAAAAAAGUCAGGAUGAACUUAGAAAGGAUGGGAAUGAAUUGGUUGAAUUCGUAGAAAACACAAAGAGAUUAAAGAAAGGGAAAAUCCAAUUCUUAUCCAAUGGCUAAUUCCAGACCCAUCGUCACACAGAAGGCCUAGUUAAACCCUGUGGGACAAAAAAAGAUAAAUUUAAAAUGUAACGACUAUGGGAAGAUAUUUGUGCAGAAGAAGAAAGGCUUUCAGGAUUGGGAAAAAAAUAAGAGGUGGGUAGGUAGGUAAGGGAGAAUAACAGGAAUGGUGUGUGUGUGUGUGUGUGUGUGUGUGUGUGUGUGUGUGUGUGUGUGUGUGUGUAAAAGCACACACAUCCAUGCAGAGAAAAGAGGAGGGAAGUCAGGUUUCCUGUUCUGUAAAUCUCUACCUCAUUCCUUUGACCUAGGCAGACAGCUAGCAAGCUCUAGGGGUCCUCUUGUCUCUGGCCACAACACGAGGGGUACAGGCUUGAAUGACUACACCUGGAUUUUUUUUUAACUUGGAUGCUGGGUAUUUGAACUUAGGUCCUCACACCUGAGCAGCAAGCCCUCUUAUCCACUCAGGUAUCCCACACCCCAUCCCUUUAAACUCUAUUCUUUUUGUGCUCCACAAAAACAGUAAGCCAAGAUGAUCAUUCUCGGUUCCAUGGGGUUCUAGUAACUUUCCUUCAUAUAACUUCUCUCCAUUAUUUUGGCCUAGUUAGGCUAGUGUGAUUUAAAAAUAAGGCACACAUAAAGAUGAAGCAUUCUAAGAUGCCACUGGUGGCAGUGAGGAUACAGUAGGGAAGAGGCAGAGCUGGAAAGAGCCAGGGUCUAGCAUCUCAUAUGGCAACUUCUUUUGUCUUACGUUUUAUUUCAACUUCACCUCCAUUUUCUAGAAUUAUAUCCCUGACAGCCCCCAAGAUACUCCUCUUCAACUUUCUCAAGAACUAUUAUGAUAAAGUUUUAUAGUUUCUUUCUGCUUCAAGGCACCGCAGGCUAAUGGUCUAUGCUUGAAUGGUCUCCAGAUGGAAUGAAAUCCAUACCUGUGUUCCAAUAAAAAAUGCUAUUCUAGACUGUUAAAUCUUCUGACUGCCUCUUUAGACUCUCGGCUGCGGAACUUGGCUUUCUCUGUGUUUGCAUCUUAACAGGGUUCGUUUGAUCACUGGUGUGUUUACACUGAACAGAGGCUGUCUGUGAAAGAAAAAAAACUAUAAACAUGGACAAGCCACAGGAUGGGUGAGUUGAGUUUGGGACAUGUUUUAAGCAGCAAGGUUGAUUUGGUCUUUGAUUAUGUUCCAUUCAUUCUCUGCCUUUUUUAAAAAAUUAUUUCUGGGGAUACUAGCAAAGCUUGCUAGGAGCAGGCAUUAUAUUUUGAGUAGCUCUUGUUACAUAGAAACAUGGCCCAGGUUAGCCUGAAGUUAGCUGUCUUCUUGUCUCAUCUUCUGUGCUUAGCCUAUUGGUAUGUCCAUGCCAGUUUUCUUCUCACUUCUUUUUCUUAUGUGGUAUUCUAUUCCUAAAACUAAUUUCAUAUAUUUAACUUUUAGUAAAACUAAAAUUACUAAAAGCUUUGAUAGCUAUGAUUAUUUAUUAAUUAAAACAAGACAAAAGUCAGCAUGUAAAAAUAAACUUUUAUUUACAGUCACUGUUUAUAGAUAGUAUAGACUCAUAUGAAUUCUUUUUAAUUCUCAACAAUUUUUCAUGAUUCCAUUUUGACUGCAGGUACAAAAUACAACUUUGCUAGCCUGACUGACUACUAGGCUGACUUUUCAACAACUUUAUAAUCUUGUUGGGGACAGACAAAGGACGGUGUCUUAAGUGCGACCCUUUUGACUUCAGACUCCAUUUUACCUACGCUGACCAACUCCCUUUCUACGUAACAAGAGCUACUCAAAAUAUAAUGCCUGCUCCUAACAACAGAAAGAGCAAAUUAACUGGCUUGUUUGGGCAAAGCACUUAGAUUUAAUGACAGUUGAAAAAGAUAGAACACUUGGGAAAGUCCCUAGUCCCUGAGUUUCUGACUGGUAAAUAUUAUAACUGUAACUUGGCUUAGAUGCUUGUGGAUUUUAUGCUUAUAAGCCAUCUUCAGCCUCUACUAGGGGUUGCCAGAAUACACAGCGCUCCUGGGUCCUUAUCUGGUGGCCCUGAUCUAUUAGAGACCACACUUAUGUGGUGUGCUGAGUCCUUAUCUGGUGGCCCUGAUCUAUUAGAGGCCACACUUCCGUGGUGUGACUAGUAAAAGAUUUUGCUGUUUCACAAGCCCACUGAUGUAUCCUCUUCCCUUUCUCGUGGUGCACAUGGUAUAACAAUCUUACCUCUUAUUGUUCCUGACACAGACUGAACUCUCCCGGUGAUUAUGAGCCAAACACAGGCUGUCCGUUCCUGAAUCUAUUCCAUCAGACAAAUCAAUCCCAUAUCCCAGACACACUUCAGAUAAUUCCACUAAAAAUAAAAUGAUUUACUAGAAAGCUGUAGUGAAUACUUCAUUCCCAGAUGUGGCAAACU